rnacentral:tRNA from 1 species
AGCGGAGUAGAGCAGUUUGGUAGCUCACGAGGCUACUAACCUUGAGGUCACGGGUUCGAUUCCCGUCUCCGCAC